UUAGGUCACAAUUAAUAUGGAUUAUCCUUUUAGAUAAUCAACAAACUUAAUAAUAUACAUAUGUGAACCAAUACAUGUUAGAUAUUUCAACUAUGUUCACUUGACAUAUAUUGGAUGGUAUCGGAAUACAAUAAACAAUAUCACUUAAUUUCUACGGUGCACAAACGUUACUACAUCGAAAGUUAAGAUAUCUUCUAGUAUGCCAGGUGAACUUCAGGCCACCAACUCUCGUUCAUUUUCUUUUGAGUUACAACAUCUUUAUCAUCAAGAGCUACUUCAUCAUUCCCAUUGAUGUCUGAUCGAUCACUCGUGUUGAAUAUGCAUAUCCCCAGAGAAUCUUGAAACUCACAAUUUAGCUUUGGAUCUCUAUUUUCGAGUGAUUUGUGAAAAUUUCCAAUAUUAUAAUAAGAUAAUAAUAUUAUGAAUACAAAGGAAAUUGAAAAUGCAAUUAAAAGAAGCCUUGUGCAUAUUGCUUUGGCUUGGAAUAGAAGUGGAAUGGUCAUGAUACAAUGU
rnacentral:lncRNA from 1 species